UUCGGUGUAAGAGCUUUUUGGGCGACUGGAACUGUUGAACGUAUCUUUCUCCCCAUCAGAAGUUCGGCUGGAGAAAUACCAUGGCUCAGUGGAGUUGACCUGUGUGCUAGAAGUGCUCUCUGAGGAUCUCCAUUCUUCCUGAGUAAUUGUUUUACAGUUCUCACGGCGCGCUCUGCUUCACCGUUACUCUGAGGAAAACGGGGACUGCUUGUGACAUGCUCGAACUCGUAGUCCUUUACAAACUCUGCAAACUCUCCAGACGCAAACUGAGGGCCGUUAUCCAUCACCAAGGUGUCCGGAAUUCCGAAUCUGGUGAAGAAUGACCUUCAACCUCUCCACCGUCAUUGCUGUAAUGAGUUUGGGCCACCACACAGCUUGCAUGCGCUCUUGCAAUGCGCUUUGUCAUACCUUGAUGGCCCUGAUGAAGUCUCUCUAGCAUCUCCCUCCUCAUGAGCUGUGGUAUCAGGAUCCUCUCUCCUUUCAUCAGGAACCCGUCAGCUACAUGGAUAUCUGCUCGGUGAGACCAGUACGGUCCCAUUGGAGCUCGUGACAACGCAUCUGCGGUAACCAGUUGUUUCCCUGGAACAUAACUGAUGUUGUACUUGAAUCUGAGCAAUCGCAACCGGAAUCGAAGAAUUCUUGGAGGUUAGUCGUCUAAUGGUCUGUUUCCCAACAAAGAAAUGAGAGGUGACAAACUUCUUGAAAUGUACACCACAGGCCUCCAUUCGCUGUUCUUCUGCCUCUGCAUCAGCACACCGCCCAGACCAUAGGAUGAAGCGUCUGCUGAAACGAUCUUCUCACUGUGUGGACUAUACUGCGCCAAUAU